UACGUAGGGCGCGAGCGUUGUCCGGAAUUAUUGGGCGUAAAGAGCUCGUAGGCGGCCUGUUGCGUCCGCUGUGAAAUCCCGGGGCUCAACCCUGGGCGUGCAGUGGAUACGGGCAGGCUGGAGGCAGGCAGGGGAGAACGGAAUUCCCGGUGUAGCGGUGAAAUGCGCAGAUAUCGGGAGGAACACCGGUGGCGAAGGCGGCCAACUGGACGGUGACUGACACUGAGACGCGAAAGCGUGGGGAGCAAACAGG
rnacentral:rRNA from 1 species